GCUCAACUAAGAAGAUGUCUGGACGAGGGAAAGGCGGCAAAGGUCUGGGUAAAGGUGGCGCCAAGCGACAUCGCAAGGUUCUCCGAGACAACAUCCAGGGCAUUACCAAGCCCGCUAUCCGGCGUUUGGCUCGGCGCGGCGGUGUCAAGCGUAUCUCGGGUCUUAUCUACGAGGAGACUCGCGGCGUCCUGAAGGUUUUCCUUGAAAAUGUGAUUCGCGAUGCUGUCACCUACACCGAGCACGCCAAGCGCAAGACGGUCACGGCUAUGGACGUGGUGUAUGCGCUCAAGCGCCAGGGCCGCACGCUCUAUGGCUUCGGCGGCUGAGCGGCGUCCUCGUGUGUCUAGGCCUUCUCCUUGGCCCCCUCCCCCACUCACAAAGGCCCUUUUCAGGGCCCCCAAACCAUCAAAAAUGAGCUGUGAACUCUUAUUAUGCUGGCUAGGUUACGGUCUAAAAUUAUUAGCGUUGCAUUGUCUCGUAUGCAAACUAAGUCUCUUCUGUGCACUUUCUCAUUGGAGGGCUAGGUGUGGUGGCUCCACCCACCAACUGGGAAGCGCUCUGAAUGCUGUGUCUGGUCGGUCUGUGCGAAUGAAUUUUCUUGUAUGCCAAGCUGAUUAUGUUAACGGAGGCGUUUAAUGUUGCGUGCCAGGCUGCAAGGGUCCCAUUAGGCGUUGUAGGGUACAGCCUCGGAUGCUCUUCAAGUUAAAGUUGAAGCUUCGUGUUCCUAUAGGACAAAGCGGACCUGAAUGAGGACUGGUGUUCAGGUUUGGAAACCCACAAUAAAGUCACCAUGCAACAUAAAUUUGGUUUUCUCAUGCGUCGCUGUUUCCCUCUCUUAAGGACUUGGCCUUGGGGGCAAGGGGAGCACUCGUGCGUCUACCGUUUAGUUAAGGCUGGUGUAAGCCUCUCGGUGAUCCUUCUGUUUCAACUACCAAAUAUAUAUAUAUAUAUAUAUAUAUAUAUAUAUAUAUAUAUAUAUAUAUAUAUAAUGUGUCUCAUUUUUAAAAUGUCUCUAAGUCUUCAGAGUAGAUAAGUUCCCCCUGGACUCUGCUUACCUGCUCUCUGUACAUAUUAC
rnacentral:lncRNA from 1 species